AGCAGGGCAAUUGUGACUCAAUAAUCACUGUGGUCCUUUUCAACCCAGGACAUUUUAUGAUUCUCUGUAUAAAAUAAGCAUGUUUUAUCAAGCCAUGUUGCCUUUAAAGAGGCUUAGGAUUGGCAUGUGUUUUCCUAAUGUAACCUGGGUGAAAACAGCUAGUUAUCUUUUUAGGUAACUUGUGAGGUGAUGGAGGCAUCUGAGUAUUUUCAUUGGAGCUAUAUGUAACUCACAAUUAUCUGAGAGCUCAUUUUGUGCACUAGGGUAUUGUAAAUCCUAUUAGCUAGACUCUUCAUGUUACAAAAGCUCUACCAGAUUAUUCUGCCCCUUGGGAAAGGCUGUAGUGCAUGGUGAAAGCUGCUAUAGACUGAGUGGCAAUUCUUAUUCUCAAACUGUAGGUAUCUGCUAGUGUCAUGUGAUGUACACAGCAGUCAUCUUGGUGCCAUGACUUCCUCUUAUCAGAACAGUGCAGUUUCAGAAUGCCUUGCUUGGGAUCUCUGAUGUGUAUGCUUGCUCUUCCAGAGUGGGAUGACUUCUUAAGGAGCUGAAUAGACAUGAAGAGGACUGUCCCAUUUCAGCAGCAGUAAAUGCAUCCUACCCUGAGUCCAGAUGCCACCUGAGAGAGAAAGGGGGUGAGAGUGAAAUUCUGAUAAUGCUACAAAGGUGCCACACCCCGGUGCUACAGGAAGAAUUAUUGAGUAUGCUGGAAAAAGAGAUCACCCUUGGAUCCCUUUUGCUCAAUACAAUACAAUUCAACUGAGUCAUGUUGACUACAUGCCUGCUUCUGUCCCAUCACAGAACAAAGCAAAAAUUAUAUUUGCUUAACAUGUUAUUACAAAUGAACUGGAAGUAAGUUUUUUGCAGUUGGCUAGUUAAUACAGUGUAGCACGUAACUGGUAGUUCACUAAUGUGUGCUGUUUGCCAUCCUCUCUCUUUAGCCUCAGUUCCUUUUAGGAUCACCUUGUAACACUUGUUAGUGUGUGGGGUAAAGAUAAUCAGUCUUUGGAAGACUAGCUGGUGUGUUCAAGCAAUGGACUCUCAAAGUUAGUUGAUACAGGGCUGGCCUG
rnacentral:lncRNA from 1 species